CGGCGUGCCUUAACCCAUGCAAGUCGGACGAGAAAAGUUGGGGGCAACUUCCAUGAGUAAAGUGGCGCACGGGUGAGUAACGCGUGGGUAACCUACCUCUGAAACUGGAAUAACUCCGCGAAAGCGGGGCUAAUGCCGGGUAAGACCACAGUUCCUUGGAAUAGUGGUAAAAGAUGGCCUCUGCUUGCAUGCUAUCGAUCAGGGAUGGGCCCGCGUCCCAUCAGCUAGUUGGUAGGGUAACUGCCUACCAAGGCUAAGACGGGUAGCUGGUGUGAGGGGACGACCAGCCACACUGGCACUGAAACACGGGCCAGACUCCUACGGGAGGCAGCAGUGGGGAAUAUUGCGCAAUGGGCGAAAGCCUGACGCAGCGACGCCGCGUGAGGGAUGAAGGUUCUCGGAUUGUAAACCUCUGUCGGGCGGGAAGAAACUUCUGGUGGUGAAUAAUCAUCAGGAUA
rnacentral:rRNA from 1 species